GUGGCUGUAGCUCAGCUGGUUAGAGCAUCAGAUUGUGGUUCUGAGGGCCGUGGGUUCAACCCCCAUCAGCCACCCUA
rnacentral:tRNA from 1 species